ensembl:lncRNA
GUGGUAAGAAAAUUGGGUUUGUAGUCGACCAGUCACUCAGAUGCAAAGUAAUCCACCAAACUCUCUCCGUCUUUCUACAUCCACUUGACGUCUCUUCCUCUCUCUUCACUUGCUUACACUUCUUCUCUGCUUCCGCUCUUCCUCUCUGUCACCGUCCACAUCUUCCUUUAUCUCUUUGUGACUCUGCCUCUCUCUUCAGUUUUGUGGAUGAAAGGACCUGGUUUGUUGGUGUCACAUCUCGUACUGUGAACUCCCUUCUGUCUUUCCGAAGAGAAAAGAGUUGAGGACUGCGUUGGGAACACGGCCGGUGGAUGUUCUACUGUAAGUCCUGGGAGAGCUCAGUGGGAGGCUGCUCCCUGCUGACCUGUGACCCCUCCCAGACACAACAUGACCUCCAGCUGCAGCUUCCUGGGUCCAGCUGGGGUCAGACAGCGACACAGGGGGCUGAAUCAGCUAUCAUUAGCUCCCACGACAUCAAGUCCC